CGCGCAGGCGGUCGUGCAAGUCGAGUGUGAAAGCCCCCGGCUCAACUGGGGAGGGUCACUCGAUACUGCUCGACUCGAAGGCGGGAGAGGGAAGUGGAAUUCCCGGUGUAGUGGUGAAAUGCGUAGAUAUCGGGAGGAACACCAGUGGCGAAGGCGACUUCCUGGCCCGUUCUUGACGCUGAGGCGCGAAAGCUAGGGGAGCAAACG
rnacentral:rRNA from 1 species